AUACGGAGGGUCCGAGCGUUAUCCGGAAUCAUUGGGUUUAAAGGGUCCGUAGGCGGGAAUCUAAGUCAGUGGUGAAAUCUUGCAGCUCAACUGUAAAAUUGCCAUUGAUACUGGAUUUCUUGAAUUAGUGUGAAGUGGUUAGAAUGUGUAGUGUAGCGGUGAAAUGCAUAGAUAUUACACAGAAUACCAAUUGCGAAGGCAGAUCACUAACACUAUAUUGACGCUAAGGGGCGAAAGCGUGGGGAGCGAACAGGAUUAGAAACCCCAGUAGUCC
rnacentral:rRNA from 1 species